rnacentral:rRNA from 1 species
GAUCAUGGCUCAGGACGAACGCUGGCGGCGUGCUUAACACAUGCAAGUCGAACGAAAAGAGGGGAGGAGCUUGCUCUUUCCGGAAUUGAGUGGCAAACGGGUGAGUAACACGUAAACAACCUGCCUUCAGGAUGGGGACAACAGACGGAAACGACUGCUAAUACCGAAUAAGUUCCAAGAGCCGCAUGGCCCAUGGAAGAAAAGGUGGCCUCUACCUGUAAGCUAUCGCCUGAAGAGGGGUUUGCGU